rnacentral:rRNA from 1 species
AUGAGAGGGGCCGUGCGGCUGGGGUGCUACCAUGCAGUCGAACGGCAGCACAGGAGAGCUUGCUCUCUGGGUGGCGAGUGGCGGACGGGUGAGGAAUACAUCGGAAUCUACCUUUUCGUGGGGGAUAACGUAGGGAAACUUACGCUAAUACCGCAUACGACCUUCGGGUGAAAGCAGGGGACCUUCGGGCCUUGCGCGGAUAUCCCGAGCCGAUGUCGGAUUAGCUAGUUGGCGGGGUAAAGGCCCACCAAGGCGACGAUCCGUAGCUGGUCUGAGAGGAUGAUCAGCCACACUGGGAACUGAGACACGGUCCAGACUCCUACGGGGAGGCAGCAGUGGGGAAUAUUGGACAAUGGGGCGCAAGCCUGAUCCAGCCAUACCGCGUGGGUGAAGAAGGCCUUCGGGUUGUAAAGCCCUUUUUGUUGGGAAAGAAAAGCAAUCGAUUAAUACUCGGUUGGUUCUGACGGUACCCAAAAGAAUAAACCACCCGGCUAACUUUCUUGCCCACCAGCCGCUUUUUAUACGAAGGGGGUGCAAGCCUUUCACCCCCCGAAUUUCCUGGGGCGUAAACCGUGCCGUAGGUUGGUUUGUUUUAAGUCCUGUUGUGAAAUUCCCUGGGGCUCCACCCUUGGGGAAUUUG